UACGAAGGGUGCAAGCGUUACUCGGAAUUACUGGGCGUAAAGGGCUCGUAGGUGGCCAACUAAGUCAGACGUGAAAUCCCUCGGCUUAACCGGGGAACUGCGUCUGAUACUGGAUGGCUUGAGUUCGGGAGAGGGAUGCGGAAUUCCAGGUGUAGCGGUGAAAUGCGUAGAUAUCUGGAGGAACACCGGUGGCGAAGGCGGCAUCCUGGACCGACACUGACACUGAGGAGCGAAAGCCAGGGGAGCAAACGGG
rnacentral:rRNA from 1 species